AAACCAACAGGGAUUGCCCCAGUAACGGCGAGUGAAGCGGCAACAGCUCAAAUUUGAAAUCUGGCCCUUACGGGUCCGAGUUGUAAUUUGUAGAGGAUGCUUUUGGCAAGGCGCCGCCCGAGUUCCCUGGAACGGGACGCCACAGAGGGUGAGAGCCCCGUCUGGCUGGCCGCCGAGCCUCUGUAAAGCUCCUUCGACGAGUCGAGUAGUUUGGGAAUGCUGCUCAAAAUGGGAGGUAUAUGUCUUCUAAAGCUAAAUAUUGGCCAGAGACCGAUAGCGCACAAGUAGAGUGAUCGAAAGAUGAAAAGCACCUUGAAAAGAGGGUUAAAUAGUACGUGAAAUUGUUGAAAGGGAAGCGCUUGUGACCAGACUUGGGCGCGGCGGAUCAUCCGGGGUUCUCCCCGGUGCACUUCGCCGCGUCCAGGCCAGCAUCAGUUCGUCGCGGGGGAAAAAGGCUUCGGGAACGUGGCUCCCUCGGGAGUGUUAUAGCCCGUUGCGUAAUACCCUGCGGUGGACUGAGGACCGCGCAUCUGCAAGGAUGCUGGCGUAAUGGUCACCAGCGAC
rnacentral:rRNA from 2 species